rnacentral:lncRNA from 1 species
AGAUGUCACAUUCGUGGAGACAGAGGAGUCUUGGACCAUGUGCGCAACUGGAGCGUAGGAGUGUGCACUCGUCUUCUCGGAAAGGAAGGGCUGGAAAUAACCCUGACAGUGUUAGGCUUGGUGGCGAUCAGGGACAGAUGACUCUUACCGGUAGCCGUUUGCCCAAAUGCUUCUGCCCUUUGGAAGAGUCUUUGUGGCAGUGUGAGUUGUCUCCAGUAAGGGACCCUGGAGGGAGUGGCUCAUCCUAGCUAUAAAGAGUGUGUUAUUUUUAUCUUUUUUUUUUAAAGAAUCACUUUUUCUAAGUAUGUCGGAGUGAUUGAGCAGAGAGAAAAAUGAAUACCCUAAGCGAACUAGAAAUCUGGAAAGAACCGAAAUAGAGGCAGUGUCUCAUGACACUUUACUUGAGGACUCACCUGAUGAACUGCUGAUCAACUCUAUAAUUUUUCUUUCUAGGAUUCCUUCACCUAACCAGAACUGACUUCAUCAGAGAGUUAUGAUGGUUAACUCUAUCAGUCUUCUACCUGAAUGCCCCAAGAUAUUGAUGAAGUCAACAAAAACAUUGAGCCUCAGAACACAAGAAAUCUUGGACAAACUGGGAGACAGCUUGUCAGUAUCUAAGGUCUCUGUCUUGUCCUGGAGAUGUCCCCCAUCUCCUCAUCCCCAUCAGCUGAGGAUUUCCAUUUGUUUACAUGGCCCUCCAGGAUCUCUCCUGCACUUCCCCAGACUUGAUCCUGAAGCCUCCAUUUCCCUCCCUAUAGUUUCCCUUCCCUCCAUUCCUCCCAGUUCCUCUGCACACCCACCUCCCAUCUCUGGUAGACCCACAACUCCUCCAAACUUCAAAAAAGUGCUGACCUUCCAGGGACAUCAACCAAACAUGGCAUAACAGGGAAUGCAUCUGGAAAAGAGACUACCAGCAGAAGAGCAUAAAGGGGCGUGGAAGCCUAAACUGAACGAAGACCAAAGUGUGGACACUUUGCCCCUUCUUAGAAUUUGAAACAAUCACCCAUGGAAGGAGUUACAGAGACAAAGUUUGGAGCUGAGACAAAAGGAUGGACCAUCUAGAGACUGCCAUAUCCAGGGAUCCAUCCCAUAAUUAGCCUCCAAACGCUGACACCAUUGCAUACACUAGCAAGAUUUUGCUGAAAGGACCCAGAUGUAGCUCUCUCUUGUGAGAUUAUGCCGGGGCCUAGCAAAGACAGAAGUGGAUGCUAACAGUCAACUAUUGGAUGGAUCACAGGACCCCCAAGGGAGGAGCUAGAGAAAGUAUCCAAGGAGCUAAAGGGACCUGCAACCCUAUAGGCGGAACAACAUUAUGAACUAACCAGUACCCCGGAGCUCGUGUCUCCAGCUGCAUAUGUUUCAAAAGAUGGCCUAGUCGGCCAUCACUGGAAAGAGAGGCCCAUUGGACAGGCAAACUUUAUAUGCCCCAGUACAGGGGAACACCAGGGCCAAAAAAUGGGAAUGUGUGGGUAGGGGAGUGGGGGGUGGUGAGGGUGUGGGGGACUUUUGGGACAGCAUUGGAAAUGUAAUUGAGGAAAAUAUGUAAUAAAAAAAUAGAAAAAAAUAAAAAAUAAAAUUUGAAAU